rnacentral:lncRNA from 1 species
UGAAAGACUGUCGUCAAGUUCUUUCAGUAAAAAAAAUAGCUAUUCGAACACACCUUCUCUGUUUUUGUGACUCAUUAGAUAGGUAUUUCACUUGACCCAUAUAUUUCAUCUUUUAGUACUGUGAUUUUUUUGUGUUAUAAAGUCAACUUGUAGCUUUAAUAUAUAAAAAUGAUAGAAUCUGAAGCGAGACGAUGUAUGAAAUAUUCUUAUUUUGUACGAUAUCAAGACAAAAUACUCAACUCAAACACGCCCUAACAUAAAAAGGUG